rnacentral:rRNA from 1 species
CCUACGGGAGGCAGCAGUGAGGAAUAUUGGUCAAUGGGCGAGAGCCUGAACCAGCCAAGUAGCGUGAGGGAUGACUGCCCUACGGGUUGUAAACUUCUUUUAUCAAGGAAUAAAGUGAGGCACGUGUGCCUUUUUGUAAGUACUUUAUGAAUAAGGAUCGGCUAACUCCGUGCCAGCAGCCGCGGUAAUACGGAGGAUCCGAGCGUUAUCCGGAUUUAUUGGGUUUAAAGGGUGCGUAGGCGGGUGGUUAAGUCAGUAGUGCAAGUUUGGGGCUCAACCGUAAAAUUGCAGUUGAUACUGGAAGCCUUGAGUACGGGUGAGGUAGGCGGAAUGCGUGGUGUAGCGGUGAAAUGCAUAGAUAUCACGAAGAACUCCGAUUGCGAAGGCAGCAUAC